rnacentral:tRNA from 1 species
GUGGUUGUAGCUCAGUGGUAGAGUGCUUGCCUAGCCUGUAUGAUAUACUGGGUUCAAUCCUCAGCACCACA